UACGGAGGGCGCUAGCGUUGUUCGGAAUUACUGGGCGUAAAGCGCACGUAGGCGGCUUUGUAAGUUAGAGGUGAAAGCCCGGAGCUCAACUCCGGAACUGCCUUUAAGACUGCAUCGCUUGAAUCCAGGAGAGGUGAGUGGAAUUCCGAGUGUAGAGGUGAAAUUCGUAGAUAUUCGGAAGAACACCAGUGGCGAAGGCGGCUCACUGGACUGGUAUUGACGCUGAGGUGCGAAAGCGUGGGGAGCAAACAGG
rnacentral:rRNA from 1 species